GGCUGGGGUGCGUGCAGGGGCGCGGGGUGCGGGCAGGGGCCGGGUGCGGGCAGGGGCCGGGUGCGGGCAGGGCCGCCUCUCACCCGGCUUCCCGCCUAGUGAGCGCACCUUGGACGCCUGCGGCUUUUCCGAGCCGAAGCUCACGGGCUGUGGCCGGCUUCGUUUCGUGUAGUGCAGCUCCGCGACCGCCCGUGGCCACACCAUUCGGGGACUUCGUGCUUUACGAUGGGGGCGCAGUGGCCUGGCACACGCAGCACCCCGGGCCUCGAACCCUCGCGCUGGCCGCCCUGGACCCGCACAGUCAGGGUACCUGCCCAUACCGAUGGGGUGGGGACCACCACGGAGCCUUUCCUUGGCCCCGCGGCUUCUGUUCCUUUCGAGACGGACAGCGCCCACCCGGAGGAAAGCCUGACAGACGAGACUUCGCAAGGUGUUGGAUUCCAGCUGCUGUGGCCCUGAAGGUGGGUGGUGGGAAGAACGGGAGAAUGAAGCCAGCCUUGGGAGAGGCAGGACGCCGGCCUGGCCCAGCUGCUUCCAGCAUCUGGAUCCAGCCUCACCUGAAGCCAGCUACCUCCUGGACUGCAAAGUCAUUGUCAACACCAAAACAGGGUUUCUGACCAUUGCAACCGAGGGUACCGGGAUGUCGUGGCUGCAGACCCUGCAGACUGCUAUGAAGCUAGUCCUGCCCGCCUUGCAUCAGACCUCUAGCCAGGGACUGUGGUUGCAGACUUAGUCCUGGGACUGAGCUCCUAGUGAGAGGCCAGCAGCGAGGGAAGAGGGACCAGCAGAGAAAAGGGUGGAGCCUCGGGCGGCCAGCAGAGCAGCAGAAACCGAGUCUGUGAGAGGAAAACAUUGCUUCCCGAGGCCUCCUGCUGAGCUAAGGGGAUCUGGGUAUUGCGAAGAACAGCUGGGGCCAACCCUAAGGAAGGAAGGAGGGAAGGGGACAGGGAGGGGCGAGGAGGAGGGGGAGGGAGUGACCUCUGCUUAGCGCCUGCACUUGGGCAGCGGUGGCCUUUCACACGCACAGGCUUCCCCGCCUGCAGCACCGUCUCCAAUGCUGUUUGUACACACGCUAGCAUCCUGAUAGUCACUAAAUGUUUUCUUUAAAUGAGUUCACUUUUUCACUUAGAGUGCUUUCUAAAAGCAGAUCAUGAUUGCAAAUAGUAAGUAUCACUUCCAUAAAUAGAAGGUGUCAGAAAAAUAACUAUCAGACGUUCUUGGUUUCUUGUUGUGCAUGGAAGCAUCAGACGGUCUCUGAAAGGCUGUCCCUCUGCUCCCCAGGUUGGCCCAUCCUCUGCCACAGCUU
rnacentral:lncRNA from 1 species